CCGGGCCCUCAUUAAUGGUACAGAUAAUUACAUCUUAAGAAAACACAUGGCUGGUUUAAUGAAUGUUGUGACACUCCAAUUACUAUCUAGCUCACAAACAAUUAUGAUUGGACAUUUUAAUCUUGCAGAACUUGAAAUCAUUUCAAAUAUAAAGCAGGCAAAACUUCCUUACAGCAGCAACUCAUUUUACACAUGAUAUUCUGCAACUCAUAAAGAGCGGAAGAAAAGAGCAAAGCCAAAACUAUUAAAGGGAAACAGAUAACAGAUACCAUAGGACUUGUCAAGUAAUUAGCUUUGGGUCAGUUAUCCACUCAUCUCCAAUGAUCUUGGUAGUUAAACAUUCACAUUCCCAUUUACAGGGAAGUUGGCAUUAGCAGGAGAUGAUUGUGAACCACAACUAGAUACUCCCAUAUUAUCACCAGAACAAUCACCAGUGAUAGAUACACCAUUUCCAGAAUCUAUCUGAAUUCCAUGGUAAGAAUCUCCAGAAAUCAAUGCUUGUAACAAUUUUGGUGCUGGGGGAAAGGGCACUUCCACUACCCCCUCUAGCAUCUUCACUACCAUCCCCAUUGUGGGCCUCAUGUUCUCAUUAUCCUGUAUGCACCAAAUUGCCACCAAUGCAACACGCUCCGCCUCCUCAAUUUUAUAUGCGCUGCCGAGCCUAUAAUCUACCACUGCUGCUACAUUGCCUUCAAUUAUUUGUUGUGCAGCAUAUGGUGGGAAAAACCAUUUCUCCCCCUUUUCUCCCUCUCUGCUGCCAUUGCCACCAGCUGCAGAUACUGGUGCCUCAACAUUUCGUCGGCCUCCAAGCAACUCCAAUAAUGUCAUUCCAUAGCUAUAAACAUCUGCUUUCGUGGUAAUGGCCACUCCAGAUAUCCACUCUGGCGCCACAUAGCCCCAGGUACCUCUCAUGGUGGCUAAAACUCGACUAAAGUCACGACCAACAAGCUUUGCUAGGCCAAAAUCAGAUACCUUAGGAGUGUAAUCACUAUCCAAAAGGAUGUUGUCUGGUUUGAUAUCACAGUGGAUGAUGCAAUCCCGACAUUCCUCGUGUAAAUAUGCAAUGCCUCUAGCAGUCCCAACUGCUACACGAAAUCUAACAUCCCAGCUCAAACUAGGACCACCUUGGCGUAAAUAAACACUCAAAGAACCAUUUGGCAUGUAAUCAUAAACUAAAAGUCUAUGAGAAUUCUCUGAGCAAAAUCCUCUAAGCCUCACUAGAUUGACAUGUUGAAUGUUCCCAAUCGUACACACCUCUGCCCUGAACUCUCUCUCUCCACUCCCUGGCCUUUCAAGGCGUUUCACAGCAACAGGAGUAGAAUCUAAUAACUCACCUUGAAACACUGCACCAAAUCCACCGUGCCCAAGUUUAUCUGAGAAACCCCGAGUUGCUGCAUACAGCUCCUUGUAAGAAAAUACCUUCAAAUUCAACACCAGAAAGCCCCCAUCUUCCCUUCUCCCCUUGCUCCUCCUCCUCAUCUGCAGAGUCAGCAAAAUUCCUAUUGCUAACCCAACAAGGGCAACAGACACAAGAAUGCUAACAAUCAAAAGCACAGACUUCGACUCAUCCUUCUUUACGGUUCCUUCUUUUGGCACCCUAACAAACAGAAUAUCUUGAUAUGUUCUAUCAGAGCUUAGAUUUCUCAAAUUCAAUAAAGUCCCAUAUAAGUUCUUGCAUAAAUUAGUCCUCUCGUCAUGGAGAAAACCGAUACACGAACAAUUACCCAAACAAGACCUCUCGCAAAAGCUUCUACUACCAGGAAACGACAUCGUAACGGCUCCCUCAUACUCCAUGACACCACCCUCCAUGAAGCCAUCAGUCUCGUUACAGGAAUCCCCACUCUCCCUGCGACAGCCGCCAGAAUAAUCCCCAAACUCCCAAUCGUAAUCACUAACAGGCCUAAACCCUGAAAGGCAAAAGCAAGGCUUUGGCGAUGCGGAACUGAUUUUACAAAAUCCCAAAUCUCCGCAUAACCGAUAAACUUUACACCGAUUCUCCGGCUGUGACCAGAACAUAUUCCAAUUCUCCGCCUGCACGGACCAUGUAUAUUGUUUCAAUUGCCCGUCG
rnacentral:misc_RNA from 1 species